GGAAGAGGCAGUAAGUAUAUUUACUACAAUCUGUUAUUGUGAAUAUGAUUGAUUUAAUACAAACCUGUUAAACAUAUAUUAAUGUUGUCUAUAUUUUCAGUGGUUUGAUGUGUACUACCGACAUGUUCGAACAGCUUUUCUUAAAAACUCUGAUGACACGGAAGAAGAUGAGAGCUUCUUCAUUUCCACAACAGGUAAAGCGAUCUACAACCCAUCCAAUGACCUACAAAGGUUUCAUUCCAAAUACAACUUGCCCAACAUCACGAGCCAGGUAGCAAGACGAGUUAUAGAGACAAAUACCAAAGCCAACUUCACAGACCAACAGAAGUGCCUUGUUGCUGACUACUUGGCCCAUACAACUGCUACAGCUGAAAAGCAUUACCGCAUGAAGACACCAGUCAAUGCCUGCCUGGGAUUGAAGCUGAUCACCAAAGUUGCCACGUCCGAUGAAUCUAAUAUUGAGACUGCAGGCCCCUCCUGUGCAAGCACAAGUAGAAAGGGAGCAUUGUCCAGCUGCAAAAAGUUGGAUGAGGCACAGGCCUUGAAACUCUUCUAUGAACACUUCCCUGUCACAAUUGAUGGACAAUCAAUCCAGAUCAAGGACAGACGACUGAUUGUAGGAAUGCAUGAGAGAUACUGCUAUGACAAGUGGAGAAGCCAGCAAGUGAAA